UGACGAUUUCGAAAGGCGAUCAUUCGAAAAAAUAAUGACUUGAAAAUCGAAUGACAUCAUGUCUGUAUUGGAAUGAAGAGGCUCGUGAUUUUCAAAUGAGUAACAAAACGUCAAAUGAAUUGCUUGCAUUCGAAAAAGGUAAACGAUGAUGCCUAUGAUUAUCAUCUCAAAAACCAGCAGUGUAUCAUUCGUGUUUCAUCAUUGUUUAGUAUUUGGGCUGAAUCAAAUGAGAAUACAUAUAAUUUUCACUGGAACGCCUAAUGAUUUUCAUACAGCUGUCAGAAAUAUGAAAAAUUAAUAAUCAAACAAAAUAAAAUGGCGAUCAACUACUGAUGCAUCUGCUUAUGUGAGAAUUUACUAACAUAUAAAUAUUUUAUUAAAAAUGUAAAAUAACAAUCUUUCGAAACAUAAAAGCGGUCACCUUUUUUUAUUUGUACAAUGUGGACGUCAACAAACUGCUUGAUAUUUAUUGAGUAAACAACGAACGUCAAUAUUAGCAUUCUGCUGCGACGCUAAUGAAACUACUAGAAUGCAGAAAAAAUAAUCUGGAACCACAAGACAAGGCGUCCUUGGAGCAAACACCAAAAUCCAGCCCAUUCCCCAUCGGUUGCCAUAACAGCGAAGACGAAUUUAUGUACAUAUCCGGCAAAUUAGAGCAAGUCUACAUCGAUGUAACAUCCGUAAGUUAUUGGAGAGACUGGUACCGCCAACUUACGCAAAAACGAACGCGCAGGCGUGGUUAGCCUACGGCAUACUUUCCCACCAAGCAGGGUAUCCACGGUACCAACAAAUGAUCACGUAUAAUCCUGUGGGGCGAUAAAAUUUACGGCAAGAAACAUUUCUUGUUUCAUGGAGAACAAAUAAAAUCUGUUAGAAUCCAAUUUAAGCAUUAACAGCGUACACGUGUCACUAUUGAUGAGUCAUUGGUUCGAAUGGAAACUAUCUGACGAAAGUGACGGUAGUUUAUCGAUCUCCUUCGAAGUCGUAUACCAACAUAAAGGCUGCCACCAUGAACCACCCAUUGAAGCUCUCAAUUUAAGUGAAUGUGAUGACGUUGAUAGAAAAACCUUCGUUUUCGAUUGAUGAAAGAUGGUUAUGGUAAGGUUUUGCAUUAUCAGUGGAAUUCAUAGAAAAUCUUUACGGAACACCGGAAGCUUCUGAAAUCUUCCAAGUAGCCCUGAUGGCUGGAUGUUGGCUGGAAGUAACGAGAUGACGUGACGGUAACCGUAAAAAGCAUGCAAGUAGCACAUCAAAGAGCAACAACACUUCGAGUUCUCCAAUCGGACAUUUUGAUUUGCACAUGAAACCAGAUCUGGUUGGAAAACCCGAUAGCUCGUCAUCACCGUAGUUCCCAAACUUAGUAGACUGCGUAACGCAGCGACUUGACUGAGUUCGGUUAUAAUUGCAGUUUCUGUGAGUUGACUCAUUUCAAUCAAAGAUGCAGUGGAAUGCAAUUGCGGUUCUAAUCUUGGUACCCUUACUACUAAAAAUACGAUAUUCUAAAAGUGAAACUAACGACAAAAUUCCAGCAGAUGAAUUCAUUCGAUUAACACUGCUGCUGUGAAUCGUAAAGAGCAUGAUAGUGGACGUACCCGAUUGAGUUUUUUCUAUUUAUGCAGUCUCUAGGGUAGCAGAAUACGAGCAUUAUAUUAAGUGGGACGACAAAC